AACGAACGCUGGCGGCAUGCCUAACACAUGCAAGUCGAACGAGACCUUCGGGUCUAGUGGCGCACGGGUGCGUAACGCGUGGGAACCUGCCCUUAGGUUCGGAAUAACUCCCCGAAAGGGGUGCUAAUACCGGAUAAUGUCUUCGGACCAAAGAUUUAUCGCCUUUGGAUGGGCCCGCGUUGGAUUAGCUAGUUGGUAGGGUAAAAGCCUACCAAGGCGACGAUCCAUAGCUGGUCUGAGAGGAUGAUCAGCCACACUGGGACUGAGACACGGCCCAGACUCAUACGAGAGGCAGCAGUGGGGAAUAUUGGACAAUGGGCGAAAGCCUGAUACAGCAAUGCCGCGUGAGUGAUGAAGGCCUUAGGGUUGUAAAGCUCUUUUACCCGGGAUGAUAAUGACAGUACCGGGAGAAUAAGCACCGGCUAACUCCGUG
rnacentral:rRNA from 1 species